CAAGUCGAGCGAACGGACGAGAAGCUUGCUUCUCUGAUGUUAGCGGCGGACGGGUGAGUAACACGUGGAUAACCUACCUAUAAGACUGGGAUAACUUCGGGAAACCGGAGCUAAUACCGGAUAAUAUUUUGAACCGCAUGGUUCAAAAGUGAAAGACGGUCUUGCUGUCACUUAUAGAUGGAUCCGCGCUGCAUUAGCUAGUUGGUAAGGUAACGGCUUACCAAGGCAACGAUGCAUAGCCGACCUGAGAGGGUGAUCGGCCACACUGGAACUGAGACACGGUCCAGACUCCUACGGGAGGCAGCAGUAGGGAAUCUUCCGCAAUGGGCGAAAGCCUGACGGAGCAACGCCGCGUGAGUGAUGAAGGUCUUCGGAUCGUAAAACUCUGUUAUUAGGGAAGAACAUAUGUGUAAGUAACUGUGCACAUCUUGACGGUACCUAAUCAGAAAGCCACGGCUAACUACGUGCCAGCAGCCGCGGUAAUACGUAGGUGGCAAGCGUUAUCCGGAAUUAUUGGGCGUAAAGCGCGCGUAGGCGGUUUUUUAAGUCUGAUGUGAAAGCCCACGGCUCAACCGUGGAGGGUCAUUGGAAACUGGAAAACUUGAGUGCAGAAGAGGAAAGUGGAAUUCCAUGUGUAGCGGUGAAAUGCGCAGAGAUAUGGAGGAACACCAGUGGCGAAGGCGACUUUCUGGUCUGUAACUGACGCUGAUGUGCGAAAGCGUGGGGAUCAAACAGGAUUAGAUAC
rnacentral:rRNA from 1 species